UAGUGCUGAUUUGGUCCGCGUCAUCCG
rnacentral:sRNA from 1 species